CCUGUCAUCAACAGGUUAGAGAAGCCUUCCUGGAUCCUAAUUCAAAGGAAACUUUCAGUCACAAUCUGUAGCCUGGUGACUGGGUAUUUUAAAAAUAUCACCAGAGGAAGACAACCCUUGAGCCCUAUUGGAAGAGACCUUCCUUCCCAAGUGCUCCUGGCACUGUUGCAAAUCUAGAAGAUGCUAACGACCUCAAAAUCAAAUUGACAAGAAAGAGAAGUAGCUGACAUCAUAUAAGGCUUCUGCCCAAGAUGACAGAUCAAGACUUCAUACUCUAAGUCAACAUAAAACCUUCUUCCUCUUUUCCUUUCCUUUAUUCUACACUGGCCUGUAAAGAUAACACCCUCAUCUGUAGCUCCCAGGCCACUGCUAAAGUGGGGUAACCUCUGGAAUUUAAACAACCUUUUAUUUCAGGGUAGGAGAAAAUCUAACAACUGUGCCUUCAACUUUUCACAAGCAAAGUAAGACAUUUCAUUGUUUUAGCUCCCCUAAAUUUAAAUUGUUGAGUUAAAAAGGACCUACACUGGAUGCUUUUGUGAUUUGGGAUUCACUCCUUUUGGCAGAUCCCUGUAUUUCCCUGGUUAGGGAUAAAGGUAAAUGAGACGGCGAUCAAGAACUUCUCCUUAAUUCUUAAAUUACAAAAUUUGCUGCUAAAGAAAUAGCAGCCCAGCAAAGAUCUUAGAUUCUCCAGCCAAAGUUGUCCUUGAUAAUGGAAUACCUCUUAAGUUUUAGUUGAGCAAAGAGGUGUCUAUGCUGUGGGGGCUAUCUGCUAUGCCUAGAGUAAUACUUACGGGGAAGCGGAAACUCAGUUAUAUAAGAUCGAAGAACAGGUUGCUUAGCUUAAAAAGUGGAUUCCUUCCAGAGUCUUUGAGUUAUUUGCUUUCGACUGGUGCUAAUGGUCUUCCUCUCCUUUGUAUCCCCACACCCCUACCCCUCUCCUUAGCGUAGGAUGUCACGUAACCUCACAUUGCCUAUCUUCGUGAUUUCAUAUCUGUAGGGACUCCCUGUGUAUAUAUGAAACUAAAUCUGGUUUCCUCCCGUUAAACUGUCUCAUGUCAAUUUGAUUCUUAGUCCAGCUAAAAGAACCUUGAAGGGCAGAGGACAUUCCUUCUUCCAGACAGCUGGCAUAGUUGGUGGGAUAACCUGCUGAUGGCAUUAUCCCUGGGUGCUGCUGCAGCAGAGAGCUCCCCAGGAAAUCUGAAAUGCAGCCCGCAGGAGCAUUCAGAAACCCAACAGAUCUGCAUAGAUUCAGAUAUGAGCAGACAGCUUUAAGGAACUAAGAUGGACUUGAUGGGGCCUAAAAAGCCCCUUUGGAAAUAACAUCCUGAUUGAUACCUUGCUUACAGAGUACCCAGCAGCUUUACCAGGUGAGUAAAGAAGGUCACUUCCUGGUCAGUGCAGGAACCUUGAGAAGAGAAUUCACCCAAAUAUAUAGGUAUUGCAGGUGAAGUCUGACAGCAAGUAUUUGGCUUGGCUUCUGGCCUUGAGAUGCUGUUAAAAGUUCAAUCUGGAAAUCCUGAUGAGUAGUUGCAGCAAAGGAGAUCUUAAAGAGCCUACAGAGUCAACUGCACUUAUGUAA